ACGUAGGGUGCAAGCGUUAAUCGGAAUUACUGGGCGUAAAGCGUGCGCAGGCGGUUUGCUAAGACAGAUGUGAAAUCCCCGGGCUUAACCUGGGAACUGCAUUUGUGACUGGCAGGCUAGAGUAUGGCAGAGGGGGGUAGAAUUCCACGUGUAGCAGUGAAAUGCGUAGAGAUGUGGAGGAAUACCGAUGGCGAAGGCAGCCCCCUGGGCCAAUACUGACGCUCAUGCACGAAAGCGUGGGGAGCAAACAGGAUUAGAUACCCUGGUAGUCCACGCCCUAAACGAUGUCAACUAGUUGUUGGGGAUUCAUUUCCUUAGUAACGUAGCUAACGCGUGAAGUUGACCGCCUGGGGAGUACGGUCGCAAGAUUAAAACUCAAAGGAAUUGACGGGGACCCGCACAAGCGGUGGAUGAUGUGGAUUAAUUCGAUGCAACGCGAAAAACCUUACCUACCCUUGACAUGUAUGGAACCCUGCUGAAAGGUGGGGGUGCCCGAAAGGGAGCCAUAACACAGGUGCUGC
rnacentral:rRNA from 1 species